rnacentral:rRNA from 1 species
GACGUAGGGCGCAAGCGUUGUUCGGAAUUACUGGGCGUAAAGGGCUCGUAGGCGGCCAACUAAGUCAGACGUGAAAUCCCUCGGCUUAACCGGGGAACUGCGUCUGAUACUGGAUGGCUUGAGGUUGGGAGAGGGAUGCGGAAUUCCAGGUGUAGCGGUGAAAUGCGUAGAUAUCUGGAGGAACACCGGUGGCGAAGGCGGCAUCCUGGACCAAUUCUGACGCUGAGUGAGCGAAAGCCAGGGGAGCAAACGGG